ensembl:lncRNA
UUCAGCAAAAUAGGUGGGAAAGAAGUUUUCUCUCCAGAGAGAGAAGCAGAGGGUAAAAAGCCUCAAUUCACAUUCAGUAGGAAUUACCUGCCCUUCCUAAAGAUACAUAUGAGGACUGAGAGCUGCCCUUGGACAUGGAAAUAUGGAGAACUGGUAAAAAUCUGCAAGAAUAGACAGUUGCAUUGACCUGUUUUGCUGGAAAGAAAUGCAGAAGGUGGAAUAGUUGAAGAUGAGAAUCUAAGGUAAACUGAUAUUUAACUAAUGUCAUCAGAAUCAACUGCAAGAGAAGGUGGCAGAAGUGACCCAGAAUAUUCUAACUGCUUUUCAUAUUGUCUGAGAGGAUGAAUAUCUCGGACACUAUUAAUCUUCUGAGAUUUAUCAGUCAUCAAACUUGGCCUUUCAGGUCUAGAACUUCAGUGAUGAAGGGAUUUAGCUAAGAGACUAUCUCUGUGAUUGACUAGACUCUUAAGGCUCAAUCUAAUAGGAACCUUGAUAAAAAGCAUUAAAUAUGCUUUCAGCUACUUUGAUUGAUUUUUGAAUUAAAUUAUUAAUUCAUUUGUUCAAAAUAUUUAUUACGCAUUCACUAUGUAUGUGUGAGUCAAUUGUUAAAGACAGAAAGAUGAGUGUGGUGUACUCUUGAAGGGAUAAACACAUAAACCGAUAGUGACAGUACAAAGUGAUUAGGGCUACAACAGAGGGACUUCAAAGGCACUUCAAAAUGCUGUAGUAACAGUAAAUAGCAGAGCACAGCAGGACUAGAGAUUUAUAAGGCAACUAAAAAGAAAAAGCACUGACACCCCACUCCAGUACUCUUGCCUGGAAAAUCCCAUGGACGGAGGAGCCUGGUGGGCUGCAGUCCAUGGGGUCGCGAAGAGUCGGAGAUGACUGAACGACUUCACUUUCACGUUUCCCUUUCAUGCAUUGGAGAAGGAAAUGGCAACCCACUCCAGUGUUCUUGCUUGGAGAAUCCAAGGGACAGGGGAGCCUGGUGGGCUGCCGUCUAUGGGGUCACACAGAGUCGGACACCACGACUGAUGUAACUUAGUAGUGAAAAGAGAAAGGGGAUUUAGACCUCCAACAGGAGGCUGGAUUGGACAAUGUUGAGCGGUCCUUGAAAAUUUGAACUUCAUGAAAACAGUGAAUGUUUUGCCCUCUGGGCAAGAAGAGUCAGACUCACAUGCAUAUGGGAAAAUCUUUAUCAGGAUACAAGACAAGAGAGGCUGUAUAGCCCCAUGUUUGACUACACGGCUGGAGGAAGGUCAAGUAAUGCCCCAAGACCAGAUCAGCAAUGGUUCUCACUUUGCCCUUCCGUCACUUAAGACAAGAAGCUUAAGUAUGGGUUACACAAUCAGCUGAUGAGUUAAAUGCUAGCCAGAUCCAGCUAGCUGUGUUUACAAACAAAGGGGAGUGGAAACUCUCAUUUCAUGAAAUGGAAACAAAUGUUAUGUCUAAGCACACCUUCAAACCAAAAUUUUAAACUUUAAUUACUCACCAUGUCCCCCAAAACUUUUUUUAAAGUAAUAUAAAGUUAAACAUGACAAAGACAAUGAUAAAGAAAAACCCCAGUAAAGUUGAGAUUGACUGUGAAAGAGUUAAGGACACGUUAGCUAGGGAGAAAUACUCUGAGGUGCCUCCCUUCCCUUCCCAUUGUACCCUAAGCACAUAUUUAUUUUAAUGGUGAAUUCACAUCUCUUGUUUAAUGCUAGUAGACAGCAACAUGAGUCAGAUUUGAAGGUUUAAGGAGAUAGUUAUACAUGGCUGAGCCCAGAGGGAAAGCCGGCAUAAUCAUGGUGCUUUGAAAGGAUGUAGAUCUGUGUAUUGAUUAAGCAGGUUUUCCUUGUGAUCAGCUAAGAGCUCAGGACCUGGCAAUUACUUCUUUGACAACAGCCACAUUCACAACAGCACUACAAUUACAGGAUAAAGAAGAAUUAACUUUUUGUAGAGAACUUAAUAUAUAUUUGAUAUUGAG